CCUAGUAACAACGAUAGCAACUGAAGCUACCAGCUGGCUAACCGUAAAUGAAUCAGGGUUCAUUGUCCCUCCGUUGUUUUCGAAGAUGGUAUGGUUGAGAGACGGAAGAGAAACAUGUCUCUCGAUGAAGGUGAAUCAGAGGAGAGUCACUGGGUGGAGACACUGUUCCCCCCUCACUUCUCCUUUCAGAGCCUAGUGGAAAACAAACAGUCCACUGGUCAGAGUGACAAAUCUGGGGUCAGGGCACCCUGCAGCCCAGCCACUCAGUACUACCAGGAGGGCUCUGGGAGGCAGUACAUCUACAAGGCUUCACUACAUGUUCAGGAGAGAAAAAACGAAAAAGGAGGAGUUGGUAAAAAUGAUUUCCACAGAUGACUCUGAAGAGAGAGAGAAGCAUGUGUAUGACUGAUCCAGCUCCUAAUCAAAAGGAAGAGGUCACAGGAGGGUCGAAAGAAGGAGAGAGCAGCAGUUGCAUUUGGACUAAUCGGGAUAUUGACACCUUCAGGAAAGUUCAGCGUUCGAUGGAAGAGGACCGGGGCAGGCUAAGAUCUCAGCUCAGGGACGCCCUGGUAGAGUUGCGAGGGCAGGAGGACACGAGAAGGCAGAUGCAGGCUCUCCUUGAAGCGAACGAGCAGAGUCUGGUAAAGGCCAAGCAUGAUGCAACACUGCGGGCUAUAAACAUAAAAGCUCUGCAGGCCAAGGAUGACUGUCAAGCUUCACAUGGAAGCAGAACAGGUCAAACACAUCAUGGAGGAGAAGACAAGAGUGGAGGAGAGACUGAGGACAGUUUCAAAAGAGGUACACGAUGUGAGGAGAGAGAACUCCAACUUGACUUGGGAUAUUGAAAAGCUUAGGAAUCAUCUGGGGACUGAGAUGGACAGACAAAAAAAGGCCAUGAAGUUGGAGCGUGAUGUGGCUCUGCAGAAGUUGCAGCGAGAGCUGGAGGAGACCAAGUCACAGCUGCAGAAAGAGAGGGACAGCCAUACACGCAGUUGUACCGCUUUGGAUCUUCUGCGAAGGCACUUUAACAACCGAUCACAUGACAGGGCACAAGGGAUCACCACGGGACAAGAUCACACAUAGUUAGCAGUGACCAUAGGGGUACCUUUAACACAUGGGCAAUUAUUAUUAUAUGUUGUUUUGUGUGUGCAAAGAAUAAGAUAUACAAGUGAACAAUGUGGUGUUUUAAAACUUUAAUUUCAUAUGCUUUCAAACAUUCACCUUUUAAAAUAAAGCUAUGUACACUUUAAAUCCUCUCCCACAGUAAAUAAGGAAAAUAUCUGAAACACAAAAGGCUAUGGGGGAAAAAGAAGGCAAUAGAGUGAAAAAAGUAAAGCACAAAAAAUGUUUACAGUUCAAAUGGAAGUAUCUAAUCAAAAACCAUUAAGCUAGGUUUGAUCUAGCCAAUGACUUAUCAAAUAACCAAGAGGUAGGGUCAUGACUAUAUAGGCUAUAUAUUUUUUAAAGGACUUAUGGGGGCCACCAGUUUCCUUGGUAGCAUCUUUCUGUUCUAUUGUUUUACAUGUACGACAACAGGUUACAUGGAUUUUUCCCAAAACAUUCAAAGAACCUUCAAGGAAACCACACUUCUAUUUAGGAUCAUUAUAAUUUGGUUUGUUGUAGCUUACAUGAUUUAAGAUAUUUAUGGAUUUUCUGAACUCAUAAAGUUUACUUUUGUAUUUGUGAAAUAAUAUUUAAUUGCUAAAUAACAACAAUGUAUAUUAAUGCCAACUACUAUGCUAAUUGCAUCUGGUGCUGCUGUAAAUUCAGUGCUACAUGUUUGGGACUAGUAAUGCAUACUUUUCUUUUUGUGUAUUAACUUUGGUUUGACAAAAUCAAUAGGAGGUCUGGACUUCCACAUACAUGGUCUUCACAAUCAAA